CUCCGCCGGCGACCGGCGCACGGGUGAGUAACACGUAUGCAACCUCGCCCCUCGUCAGGGGGACAACCCGCCGAAAGGCGGGCUAAACCCGCGUACAUGCCCACCGGGGCAUCCCGGAGGCAGGAAAGGCUUCGGCCGGACAGGGAUGGGCAUGCGGCGCAUUAGGCAGUAGGCGGGGUAACGGCCCACCUAACCGACGAUGCGUAGGGGUUCUGAGAGGAAGGUCCCCCACAUGGUACUGAGACACGGACCAGACUCCUACGGAAGGCAGCAG
rnacentral:rRNA from 1 species